CGAAUGACAGGGCGAAGCCUGUCCGCCUCCCGCGUGAGUGAAGAAGGCCUUCGGGUUGUAAAGCUCUUUCGCAAGGGAAGAAAACUUAGGCGCUAAUAUCGCUUGAGGUUGACGGUACCUUGAUAAGAAGCACCGGCUAACUACGUGCCAGCAGCCGCGGUAAUACGUAGGGUGCGAGCGUUAAUCGGAAUUACUGGGCGUAAAGCGUGCGCAGGCGGUUUUGUAAGUCAGAUGUGAAAUCCCCGAGCUCAACUUGGGAACUGCGUUUGAAACUAUAAGACUAGAAUAUGUCAGAGGGGGGUAGAAUUCCACGUGUAGCAGUGGAAGGCGGGAGAGAUGUGGAGGAAUACCAAUGGCGGAGGCAGCCCCCUGGGAUAAUAUUGACGCUCAUGCACGAAAG
rnacentral:rRNA from 1 species